rnacentral:lncRNA from 1 species
UGGGCUUGUUUUGAGUGUUUUUUUUUUGUGUUUUUUGUAUUGGGCUUCUUUUAAGUUAGUUAGUGGUAGUCAUGUAAUUUAUAGAAAAUUCAACACUCAUUUUGUAUGUAUUAAAUGAUUUUUGAGUAUGUUUCUAAAGUGCAUUUCAUGUAUAGUUUUUUUUAUAAUUUCAGCCUCUAUUUGGGGUAUAUCACUAAGGCUCCCUAAUUUGUAACAUAAUGACAUAAAUAAACAUUUUGGUUUAUUAUUUUUUUAUUUUUAUAAUAUUUUCUUUUUCAAACAAUAAAAAUAGUGAAUUUCUGAAUUAAAAGGGUAUAAAUGGUUUGUUAUUGAUCAUUAUUUUUAGAUUUUAUUUGGAUGGAAAAUGGACACAAAUGCUCGGAUGAAUUUCAAAAUAAAAGUUGCCAGAAGUUGACGAAUGUGGUAUAUCAGGAUGUGUAUAAAGUAUGAGUGGGAAGUUGUCAAUUUAUUUAUUUAAAAUUUAUUGUCCCUCAAAGAAAUAAUUGAACAUCUUUUCCUUGUCGAACAAAGGUAAAGCAGAGAGACUCAAACUUCACGUUCCUUAGAGCAACUCCACUCAUUUGCCCUUAGCCAUGGCAAGGGUGGAGCUAGGGCAACCACUAUUCACGUGAAUAGUGGUUGCCCUUGCAAAUAUUUAUGGUAUGUGGAGUGAUGAAUGGUCAAUUAAUUAUGCAAAUGAAAUGAUGUAAUUGAUUUUGAGUGGUAUGGAGUUAUACACUUUUAUCGUACCGAUUAUGCAAAUGAAAUGAUGUAGUUGUUAACUUCUAGUAAGUGGUAUGAACAGUAUAACAACUAUUCAUACCCUGCAACUAAGUUGAUUUCUAUGACAUAGUAUUAACAUAUUUUCAGUAACAAAGCAUGCUCUAUAUUUUACUCUAUAUAUAAUUGUGCACUUGAAGUUUAUGAUAUCCUGUGAUUUUUACUAGGAAGAUAGUUCUAAGACAUGGUAUUAAUAGUGUACUUUUUUUUUUUUAUAUACUUGUAGAGGUAUUUCCUUUUGCCUUUGCAAUUGUAUCUAGUGAAACUGUAGACAAUUGGAGGUGGUUUCUGCAAAGUAUAUUGGAUGUCUUGCUGGGCUUUUUUGAAUUUUUUAUAUAUAUAUGAAAUGGUAUUAACAAUGGUUUUUUGUACGAAAUGGUAUUAACAAUGUUCUAUUUGUAUAAAAUGGUAUUAACAAUAUCUUUUUGUAAGAAAUGGUAUUAAAUAUAUAUAUAUUUUUGGUAUGAAAUGGUAUUAAUAAUGUUUUUGUAUGAAAUGGUAUUAACAAUAUUUUUCUAUGACAUGUUAUUAACAAUGUACUUUUAUGACAUGGUUUGCAGAGGUUCGAUGGAGAAGGAAGGGUCAUGUGGGCAUGCCCUUGAUUUUCGUGUUUUUAUUUAUAUUUUUUAUACUUAAGUUUGGAUUUUUUUUAUAAAAAAAAAAAAAUCUGGGCUGGGCUUGUUUUGAGUGUUUUUUUUUUGUGUUUUUUGUAUUGGGCUUCUUUUAAGUUAGUUAGUGGUAGUCAUGUAAUUUAUAGAAAAUUCAACACUCAUUUUGUAUGUAUUAAAUGAUUUUUGAGUAUGUUUCUAAAGUGCAUUUCAUGUAUAGUUUUUUUUAUAAUUUCAGCCUCUAUUUGGGGUAUAUCACUAAGGCUCCUUAAUUUGUAACAUAAUGACAUAAAUAAACAUUUUGGUUUAUUAUUUUUUUUAUUUUUAUAAUAUUUUCUUUUUCAAACAAUAAAAAUAGUGAAUUUCUGAAUUAAAAGGGUAUAAAUGGUUUGUUAUUGAUCAUUAUUUUUAGAUUUUAUUUGGAUGGAAAAUGGACACAAAUGCUCGGAUGAAUUUCAAAAUAAAAGUUGCCAGAAGUUGACGAAUGUGGUAUAUCAGGAUGUGUAUAAAGUAUGAGUGGGAAGUUGUCAAUUUAUUUAUUUAAAAUUUAUUGUCCCUCAAAGAAAUAAUUGAACAUCUUUUCCUUGUCGAACAAAGGUAAAGCAGAGAGACUCAAACUUCACGUUCCUUAGAGCAAUUCCACCCAUUUGUCCUUAGCCAUGGCAAGGGUGGAGCUAGGGCAACCACUAUUCACGUGAAUAGUGGUUGCCCUUGC